rnacentral:misc_RNA from 1 species
UACGGAGGGGGCUAGCGUUGUUCGGAAUCACUGGGCGUAAAGCGCGCGUAGGCGGCUACGAAAGUUGGGAGUGAAAGCCCGGGGCUCAACCCCGGAAUUGCUCUCAAAACUUCGUGGCUUGAGAUCUGGAGAGGAGAGUGGAAUUCCAAGUGUAGAGGUGAAAUUCGUAGAUAUUUGGAAGAACACCAGUGGCGAAGGCGACUCUCUGGCCAGUUUCUGACGCUGAGGCGCGAAAGCGUGGGGAGCAAACAGG